AAAGAGAAGCCAACGAGUAUCACAAGGAUGAACGAACAACAAGUUACGGCCCGGAUCGAGCAAAAAGGAGAUAGAAUAGACGUUUUUUGAAGAGUUCGUGAGAUUUAUCUUAACGCUCGAAUGAAGAAAAGGAUUGAAUAUCUCCGCCUAUGAGGGCAAGGCCGUAUAAAUAUCCAUUUUAUGUAAAGAGAUUUGUUUUCUAGUAAAGUUCACUAAAUGGAAUUGAAUCAGAAUCAACGUCUCUUUAUGCAUUUAUUUCAUGCAUUCGCAUUACAUAAUAUCAUAACAUUAAAGUCCACUAAAAGAGCCUAAUCG
rnacentral:lncRNA from 1 species